UGAUAUCAGAUUAAUCACUCUCUCUCUUUCUCUCUUGGGGAAAGCCCUUCUCUCUUUCUUAUCGUCCUCCGACGAACCACUCGUCGCUUUUGUUUCUCUAGCUUCCGGCAGCAGCGGCCAAGAACUACGACCUUCAUCAAAUCAGGUUCCGAUCGAUCUAAGCGAUGCAAAACCUUGAAAAGGCCCCUCCAUGCCUAAAGAAGACGAUGAUGAAGAAGCUCCGAUCGGAGCUACCUCACUGAAGGCGAACUCAGAUCUCUCUGAUUCUCUCUGGUUUCUCUGUGAACUCGACCUCGUGCUAGUCAAUUAGACUUCAGUUGGAUCGGAGAGUGAGGUGAGGUCGAGUUUAAAGAAGAGAAGCUGUCGAAUCCCUGCAGUGGUUUGCCGUCAACCGUGAAAUCUCCAAUAUCUCGAGCGGAGCCGAUCUUAGAUAGUGACUCGCCGCGUCAGGUUAACGAUUACCACGACGGUGAAGGAAUUAUGGCAGAUAUUGCAGUUGGAAGAGAAAUGAUUGAGCUGGCUUGAGGAGUGCUUCGACGAAUUGCAGAAGAAUUCUUCCCAUUUACAUAUGUAGUAGUAGAUUUUGAAAAUCAUGUGAAUUUGGAUAUUGAAGCCUCCAUUGCCCAAGAAAUAUUGAAAUGAAGUCUCGUGCUGAUUGUGGCAAAAUUAUGUCUGUGGGUUUAGAGCGUCACCAUUGAAAAAUGACAGUAACAUUACAACAUUGACAGUAGCUUUAUACAACUCUUGUAAUAGAUUUUCAUAACUAUGGUAGUGGCUUUUGACAAUUAUGGAAGUUGCUUUUUACAUA